rnacentral:lncRNA from 1 species
CCCUGGAACUUGCUGGUUUGCAGGUCGCUCCUGAUUAGAAGGCCACCAGCUGUUCUGCUUCCAGAUUCAAUUCCGAGAACACCGAAAAAAAAAAAUCAUCUAGUUUCUCUAGUUUCUUCUCUUUUCUUCCCCGGGGGCAUUUUCUUCUUUGAUUCCUUUUCCUCCCUGCUCUUUCUCCUUCUCUUGUUUUUACAGUCUCCCGGUAAUGACUAAUUGGCUGUGUUUCCCAACUUUUUUAUGUUUCUCUUGCUCUUGUUACUAGCGGUACUAACCCCGUGAUAUCCACAGGGACCUAUAGACAGCCAACAUUCCCAAGUGACAUACAGCAUUCUCUUUUCUUUCAAAGCGCAAAACAUUUACAAGGAAAUGUACAAAUGUAUUAGGCACAUUUCCCGGGUCGGUCAUUAGAGCGCCUCUGCGCCGGGGUGGGCCCCUUCACCCUCCCCCUCCUCCGACCCCAACGGUCCCCUCUGGAGCGCGCGUUUCCGCGUGCCAGCGGGACGGCCCGCGAGACCGCAAUUGCUCUGGCCGGGAUUGACGAGCCUCGGAUGCCCAUUUACUGCGCGCGGCAGCCACUCUGGAGCCGCGGCACAUCUGGAUGGAGUCAGCCGCUGAGCGCCAGGGGCCAGCGCAGUGCGGCGGCGAGCUAGGGAGGCCGGCGCCCAGGCCGCCUCCGCGCUGCCCCCGUGCGCCCGGGCUGGAUUUCCUGAUGUAAACAGAGCGGCCCUGCAGGAACACAGCCGCUCUGCUCCCCGUGUCACUGAGCGUGCUUUAUCUGCUCAGGGUCAACAUUGCGACUUAAGAAAACAGAAGCGUUGCUUUGAAUUUAAACAGCUCCAAAGCCACAACCCAUCUCUUCUGGGCUGGGGAGGGAAAGCCUGGCAACCCGGCUCCGGCCUUUGUGUUUACUUGUUCCAGUUUCUGGGUAUUGUGCAGACCAGUGCUCUCAAGAACACCUCAUUCACCAAGCCCAUCGUGUCAGUGGAAGUGAUUCCCAGCAGCUGCUGAAUGAGCACUGAGGCACCACAAGGAGCUCAGCCAAGUCAGACAGAUGUGGGGGCACCCCCAAGUCAUGGUGAGACACGUGGCACAGAGGACCCCAAAAGUGAAGACAUCAAAUGGAUACUUUCUGAGUCCAGCUUUGUUCGAAGAUUGUUUUCUUGUGAUCAUCAAUUAUACAGACACAUGUUAAAACCACUCUAAAAGAAAGCAAAUGUUGCUGGCCUCGAACUCACAGAGAUCCGCCUGCCUCUGCCUCCCAAGUGCUGGAUUAAAGGCAUGUGCCUCUAACGCCCGGCUUGCAAGUGUCUGACUUUUAUGUGAACAUAUAUAGGAGACACAUUGCUGCUUCUCCUCCUCUUUCUCCUUCUGCUCUUCAUCUUCAUCCUCCUUCUCUUGGUUCUCUAGAUGGAGCCCAGGGCUUCCCAUCCCCAGGACAGAUUUUUCCAUAGGAAUGAGUGAUGUGAUUGAAAUUCUUCAGAACAUGACAAGUGUAUGUUCAUCCCUCCCUUGUUGUUUACAAAGAAGUGCAGAAGACCGGGGUGAAAAGGAAGAGAGUCAAAAUUCGGUUGUUUUGGGAGAGUGUGAUAUAGGUAAUGUGCCAUGUGUCACUGAAGCAAAUUUUCUUCUGCCUAAUUCGUAAGUUCAUUUCCAUCCCUCAUUUUUGCCCAUUAAACUGGGGAAGCGAAUAUGUGACAGAAGACACCUCUCAACAAAUACAUUGUUUCAAAUUCAUUUGGAAAGCUGUCCCGUGCUACAGUCUCGCCAGCAAGAACGACGCGGCACACUCAGGAUCCUUCUGCAGUAAAGCUUUAAUGCAUCUUGAAAGGGAGAGCAUAAGCUUACAGAGCAGAGACCCCAAAUACCCAAAAACCCAUCUCUUAUAUAGGCUGGCAGCCGCCGCCUAGGACAUGUCACCCCCUGACUGGCUGCAGCUCAUCGGACCACAUGACGCCACGGGAGAGGCAGAGACCAAGGGAUGGAAAGUUACCCAGCGCCUGCGCACUAACUUGUUUACCAUUCGGUGUCUGCCGGAUGCCGGCGCCAUCUUGUAAUGGAGAAUGCAGGGACAGCUCCUUACAUCUCCCCCUUUUUUAUUAAUUAAUGAUAAGGCUUCAUAUUUUUACAAGCAAGGUGCUACAACAGCGAAAAAGAUCAAGAUGGCUUCGAGGACAAGCACAAAAGCCUCGACACUACCUUCCCAAGGUGGUGACAAUCCCAAGCCAAAGUCCAGAAAAGACAUACCUCUCCGAAUCGUACCUGCCUGCAGUUCUGAAUCCUCCUUGUAGCCAAGGGGUCUCCGAUGGUGCUGACGAUGAUGAGGUCUCGAUUCCCGGGUUUCGGCACCAGUUGUUCCGCGCUACCGUCUCGCCAGCAAGAACGACGCAGCACACUCAGGAUCCUUCUGCAGUAAAGCUUUAAUGCAUCUUGAGAGGGAGAGCAUAAGCUUACAGAGCAGAGACCCCAAACACCCAAAAACCCAUCCCUUAUAUAGGCUGGCAGCCGCCGCCUAGGACAUGUCACCCCCUGACUGGCUGCAGCUCAUCGGACCACAUGACGCCACGGGAGAGGCAGAGACCAAGGGAUGGAAAGUUACCCAGCGCCUGCGCACUAACUUGUUUACCAUUCGGUGUCUGCCGGAUGCUGGCGCCAUCUUGUAAUGGAGAAUGCAGGGAUGGCUCCUUACAGAAAGCAAGCUUGAGCUACAGAGGGAAUGACUUUUCCUUAUUAGUGAUGCCAUGCUACUACUCUCCCGAUAAUAUAUUGGGAUAUACAUGAUUUUUUUGAAGUCGGUCAACUAUUGACAUAUUAUUGCUUCCUGCAAGUAAGAUCAGAUAGUACAAACCAGAAAGUAACAGUUUAAUGGAAGUUGUGGGCAAUUUAAUAAGAUACAAUUUCACACCUAGCACAAAAAAAUGUAGAAUUAUAUUAUAUUAUAUUUCUACAUAUUCUUACCACAAUCUAUAAAAUCUCCCCAUAACCACCAUGCUGAAGGAUGCUCAGCAGGCAACCUGGCAAAAUCAGAGAAUUUAGCAGUUUAUUUUGAAGUGUUUAUCUAAUUAUUUUUUAACAAUAAAAACUCAGGAGUCAGAUAUCAGGGUAAGAACCCGAAUCAUAAGUGGCAGAGAAGCAACAGGUGACCUCCACUCUCUUGUUCCUUAAUCCCAGAAGGGCAAGAUCCUCUCUAAGCCUUGCCCUACUACUUCCUGUGUCUCUCUUCCUGUCCUUAGUCCUCCAAAACCUCUAUGGUUAAUUUUGGUCAGCUAGUAGCUAGCUCUGCCCUCUGAUUCAAAGCAGAUUUUAUUGUCAGUCUUUGGAGCAUCAGGAUUCUAUCAAAAUAUCACACAACAUUAUUUCUUUGUACAAGCUGCUUCAGCAAACAGUACAAGAUUUUGAGGUCAAACUUGGAGGUAAAAUCAACCAAUAAGUCUCAAGAGUCCAGUGUUCGGUGCAUUUCUGUUAAGUGAGACAUGGAGGAAAAGGUUAACAACAUGGUUGCAUCUUAAAUUGAACAAGAAAAGUUAAGCUUGUUUUGAAGAGUGCGAAUAAGCAAUGUUCCAGCAGAUGAAAUAAGCAGGUUGAUGGGUCAGGGAAGAACUUUAAACCCUGCCUGCCUUAUCCACCUGAUGCUUUAUGUCAAAUGUAGGGGAAAUACCUCAUCAGGCCCCACAGGCAUCUGGAGGAAGCACCUUGACUGCUGUAGGCUCUGAGCAUUCUGUCCUACAUUGAUGUAGGACAGAAUCUGUUAAGUCAGGAUUGUCACAGCAGCCAUGCCAGCAAGUGCUUCCCCUUUUUCUCAUGCACCACGGCUAUAACCGAGUCAUCAAGUGUAUUAGUCAGCCCUGAUAGACUGCAGGCCAAGCCUGUGACAGCUUGGGCCCCACUGAGGGGAGAAGGUAAAUGGAGGAAAGUGUGUGGCUUUGGUGCAAAAGAAUACACGGGUAAGCCCUGAGUUUUCCUCAUCAAGCAGCGCAUGUGGGUAGCUGGUAACUUACAAAGGUUUUUAAACAUGUGCACCUCUGAACUUCAGGCCCUUCUGCCCCAGGAUAGGAAUUUAGUAUGUGUUUAGUAAGUCUUAAUAAGAACUAAAUGAAGUGGCAGUGUUAAAGCUUUUGGGACACAUGCAUCAUAAGCUGUGUAAUGGCAUUAUAAAGUUCCUGAGGUUGGCCCAUGAUCCACCGCUAGCCAGCCUUGGAGAUUUGGCAACAAGGCCAUAGCUUGUCAAGUUUCCUCUGACCUGGUAGAUAAAUAGACAGGGACACCCUCCUUUCUGAGUCUCCAUCCCUCUUGGACAAGAACUGUGAAGGUCACAUGUUCUCAGGGGGCUCUUCACCAGGUCUGGAGGCAGAUGCCUCAGCAUUUUAGAUAUGUUUUUGUGACUUUUUAUGGCCCUAUACUUGAUCAUUUAUUGUAAAACAAUCUUUCUUGAAUUUUGCAACAUGAGGCAAAGCAGUUAGCUUCCCCAAAUCUCUUAUUCUUCAUUCUAUGUCAGCAGCUCUCAGCCUGAGGGUUGAAACCCUUUUUAGAGGUGGAAUGACGCUUUUACAGGGGUCACAUAUCAGAUAUUUACAUUAUGAUUUUAAAAAGUAGCAAAAUGACAGUUAUGAAGUAGUGACAAAAGUAUUUUUAAUGGUUGGGGUUACUACCCCAUGAGGAAUGGUAUUAAAGGGUCACAACAUUAGAGAGGUUGAAAACCACUGUCCGAAGUAACGAUUGAGGCACACAUCUUAAGACUUUUGAGAGAUCGACUCUGAACACAGAUAUACCAAGAACUUCCUGAGUUGUACCCUGGGCAGUCCCGACCCCUGAAUCUUUGUCCGUAUAUCUCAGAGUGCAGUUGUCUAGCUCCAGUGGAGGAGGCCUGCUUGGCCUAGAAAGCUGGCCCAAGCCCAUCGAAAAAUCAGGGGAAAGCAGCUGUUCCUGAAGUCUCCUCCCCUUUCCCGUAAGAUGUCUUGUGGUGACCCUCACAGAUAGUUACCCAUACUCAAGUUCCCUCAAUCUUCUGAUGGUUAUAGAGGAGCCAAAACCUAGGACUUAUAACAAAUGUCCAGACUGAGGAGUUUUGGUUCCUGAACAAAGUGCCUUUUCUUUGGGUCUCUGAUUCUAAAAAUACAUCACAGUUUUAAGGGCUGUAUUCCAUCCAGGGGAAAAGGGAAGCAAAAAGAAAAGACAGCCCUGGAUGAAAUGUGAGGGUAAAUGGUGAAGUCAUAGGCCUAAGGCCUGAGAUCUGGGUCCAAGUGCUGCCUCGCAGACACAUUGCCCUUCCCUCUUUACAGUUUCUCCAUGUUUGGCAGCAUGUGGUUUAGCCAAGCAGCCCAGGUUUGGCACCUGGACUCCUGGAUAGAAAAUUAAGGGUUCAUUACUCUCUAACUACACAUUUUGGCAUGGCAGGAGAAUAUACUUAGCUUUUGCAGAGUUUCGUCACCUCAGAUAAUGACGAUAAUGACACUCAAACGUAUGCUAUAUGAAAAAUUUGUGAGCUGUCUGGCAUUAAACAGGUAUUCAAUAAAAACCUAUGAUCUAC